rnacentral:rRNA from 1 species
UACAGAGGGUGCAAGCGUUAAUCGGAAUUACUGGGCGUAAAGGGUGCGUAGGUGGUUAGAUAAGUUAAGUGUGAAAGCCCCGGGCUCAACCUGGGAAUUGCAUUCGAUACUGGAUAGCUAGAGUUCGGCAGAGGGAAGCGGAAUUUCCGGUGUAGCGGUGAAAUGCGUAGAUAUCGGAAGGAACAUCAGUGGCGAAAGCGGCUUCCUGGACCAGAACUGACGAUCAGGCUCGAAAGCGUGGGGAGCAAACAGG